GAUUCGGUUGCCUUGUUUCAAGGCAUGAAAAGGGAACGCAGUGCAAGUCUGCGGCAGUCCCCGCUACUGUAAGAAGGACGAAAGCUUCAGGAUGUUUAUACAUCAAUCACUGAGUUUAUCGGGAAGAUGAAGCAAGUAGGAUGAUUUUAAGCCAGGAGACCUGCCGAUAUU
rnacentral:ncRNA from 1 species